rnacentral:rRNA from 1 species
GAUGAACGCUAGCUACAGGCUUAACACAUGCAAGUCGAGGGGCAGCAUGGUCUUAGCUUGCUAAGGCUGAUGGCGACCGGCGCACGGGUGAGUAACACGUAUCCAACCUGCCGUCUACUCUUGGACAGCCUUCUGAAAGGAAGAUUAAUACAAGAUGGCAUCAUGAGUCCGCAUGUUCACAUGAUUAAAGGUAUUCCGGUAGACGAUGGGGAUGCGUUCCAUUAGGCAGUUGGCGGGGUAACGGCCCACCAAACCUACGAUGGAUAGGGGUUCUGAGAGGAAGGUCCCCCACAUUGGAACUGAGACACGGUCCAA